AUGCAGAUGAUGAGUUACUCGGAUUCCCCUUCAAGACAGUUUGGAUGAUGUAAUCGCGAGUUUCUGAUGCA